GGCCACAUAGUCCAACGGCAGGAGACGCUUCCCUCAAAAGGAAGACAGUGUCGGUUCGAAUCCGACUGUGGCUAC
rnacentral:tRNA from 1 species